rnacentral:rRNA from 1 species
AUUGAACGCUGGCGGCAGGCUUAACACAUGCAAGUCGAGCGAGCGGCGGACGGGUGAGUAAUGUCUGGGAAACUGCCUGAUGGCGGGGGAUAACUACUGGAAACGGUAGCUAAUACCGCAUACCAUCAGAUGUGCCCAGUUGGGAUUAGCUAGUAGGUGGGGUAAUGGCUCACCUAGGCGACGAUCCCUAGCUGGUCUGAGAGGAUGACCGGCCACACUGGAACUGAGAAAGGGUCCAGAAUCCUACGGGAGGCAGCAGGGGGGAAUAUUGCAAAAUGGGCGCAAGCCUGAUGCAGCAAUGCGGCGUGUGUGAAGAAGGCCUUCGGGUGGUAAAGCACUUUCAGCGAGGAGGCGUUACUCGAAGAAGAAGCACCGGCUAACUCCGUGCCAGCCGCCGCGGUAAUUC